rnacentral:lncRNA from 1 species
CACCCUUCGAACACCACUCCUUCAGUUGUGGCUUCUUCCUCUUCUAACCUUGAAUACCCCUAAGCAGAUCAUCAUCAUUAUCCCUUCCCGUUUUCCUUCAGAAGAUAAAGAAGGAAGCAAAUCAAAAAUAGCCUCACCCCAAUUACAAAACAGAGGCACGACACACCCCCACAAAAAAGAAGUCGCCGAACUCCAGCCCACCUGAAAUGAAAAUUAGAUUCCUAUUUGGUUGAUACAAAUUUGUCACUCUUUCAACCAUAUAACACACAAACGCAACGGGAAAAGGGAGGAAGUUGCGCAACAUCGUUACAAAAAGAAGAGAAAAAACGUAGCCAUCGUCUUCAUUUUUCUGCCGUCCAAAACAGUCAUGAGAGCUACUCUUUUCCCUCCGUGAACGCCACCUAAAACCUCCACCAAACAACCUCGAGUCUGUCCCGAAAUGCAGCUAAAAUCUGCUACAACAACGCCCAAAAUACCACCACAGAUUCUAGUUGAGUUGAUGAGCUGUCCGUUUGCAAAUCCGAGAUUCCAUUUGAAUUCCCGUCUGCUGUUUCGAUUGCGGUCAUUUUCUGGUUUGUCUUCUGAGUCGCAACUUUAGAUUUGUUAAUAGAAGGUCCAAUUCUUUCUUUGUUACUCCAUCCUUCUUAAUAUGAUGCGUGUGUUUACAAUUUAUAUGGUUCUGACUUGUGUGUUGUUCUUCUCUUUUGAAAUGACUUAAAGAUGGCACAGUUUUGAAUAUGAUAAAAGGAUGCGUUUGAAGAAACAAUUAAAGAUUCACGCAUUCUGAAAUAACCUGAACUUUGAAUUGAGUGAAACUGAGGCAGUAAGUCUGGGAAAUCAAGAGGUUGAUAAGAGCAUAUAACAAGGAAAUGUCUCUCAAGAAGUUUGAGGUAAAUCAGUUAGUGCUGAAAUGCAUUCUUCCACAUCAAGAUAAGGUUGAGUCAAGUCUGUUUCGAAUUGGCAAGGGUCAUUCAUUGGAACAAAGGUAUUGCCCA